CCUACGGGAGGCAGCAGUAAGGAAUAUUGGGCAAUGGGCGAGAGCCUGACCCAGCCAUGCCGCGUGCAGGAAGACGGCCCUAUGGGUUGUAAACUGCUUUUAUACGGGAAUAAAGUUGGGUAUGUAUACUCAUUGCAAGUACCUGUAGAANAAGCUNNAUUUCNNC
rnacentral:rRNA from 1 species